UGGGGAAUUUUGGACAAUGGGCGCAAGCCUGAUCCAGCAAUGCCGCGUGAGUGAAGAAGGCCUUCGGGUUGUAAAGCUCUUUUGUCAGGGAAGAAAAGGUGCGCUCUAACAUAGCGUACUGAUGACGGUACCUGAAGAAUAAGCACCGGCUAACUACGUGCCAGCAGCCGCGGUAAUACGUAGGGUGCAAGCGUUAAUCGGAAUUACUGGGCGUAAAGCGUGCGCAGGCGGUUUUAUAAGUCUGAUGUGAAAUCCCCGGGCUCAACCUGGGAACUGCAUUGGAGACUGUAAGGCUAGAGUGUGUCAGAGGGGGGUAGAAUUCCACGUGUAGCAGUGAAAUGCGUAGAUAUGUGGAGGAAUACCGAUGGCGAAGGCAGCCCCCUGGGAUAACACUGACGCUCAUGCACGAAAGCGUGGGGAGCAAACAGG
rnacentral:rRNA from 1 species